rnacentral:rRNA from 1 species
AUUGAACGCUGGCGGCAUGCCUUACACAUGCAAGUCGAACGGUAACGCGGGGCAACCUGGCGACGAGUGGCGAACGGGUGAGUAACGCAUCGGAACGUGCCCAGUAGUGGGGGAUAGCCCGGCGAAAGCCGGAUUAAUACCGCAUACGACCUAAGGGUGAAAGCGGGGGAUCGCAAGACCUCGCGCUAUUGGAGCGGCCGAUGUCAGAUUAGGUAGUUGGUGAGGUAAAGGCUCACCAAGCCUUCGAUCUGUAGCUGGUCUGAGAGGACGACCAGCCACACUGGGACUGAGACACGGCCCAGACUCCUACGGGAGGCAGCAGUGGGGAAUUUUGGACAAUGGGCGCAAGCCUGAUCCAGCCAUGCCGCGUGCGGGAAGAAGGCCUUCGGGUUGUAAACCGCUUUUGUCAGGGAAGAAACGCUCUGGGCUAAUACCCCGGGGUAAUGACGGUACCUGAAGAAUAAGCACCGGCUAACCACGUGCCAGCAGCCGCGGUAAUACGUAGGGUGCAAGCGUUAAUCGGAAUUACUGGGCGUAAAGCGUGCGCAGGCGGUUAUGCAAGACAGAUGUGAAAUCCCCGGGCUUAACCUGGGAACUGCAUUUGUGACUGCAUGGCUAGAGUGCGGCAGAGGGGGAUGGAAUUCCGCGUGUAGCAG